GAAACCCACGAACAAGCAGAAGGUAGAAAACAAGCCAAAGAAAGAAGUUUCGAAGAAGAAGGCCAUCAAAAAAAGAUAGUGUUUCCACUGCAACAAGGAUGGCUACUGAAAAUGAAACUGCCCAGCUUACCUGGAGAGCCUGAAGAAUAAGAAGGAAGGCAAACCUUCUAAAGGUAUGCUCAUUAUAGAAACAAACCUAACCGUUUCUUUUGCAUCCAAUUAGGUGAUUGACUCUAGAUCUAGCACUCAUCUACGCACUUCUUUGUAGGGUCUUAAGGAUAGCACGAGGCUGAGGGAAGUAGAAAUGAACCUAC
rnacentral:lncRNA from 1 species